ACCUUAUUUAUAUUGAUUACUUGCGCAAGUCUCGCAUCAUAUAAUAUGCAUAUUCGUUUUUAAUUUUACAAAUUUAUUAUGUUUCCUUUAAUCAAACGUCAUUUAAUUUACAUACCUUAUUAUAACCAAUUACUUGCGCAAGUCUCGCAAGUAAUAUUAUUUGCGUCGUUAAUACUCUUCACCAUCAAAGGACUAUAUAUAGAGUACAAAGUGGCGAUGAAGCAACAUAACCAUUCUUCUAUUUUUAUAUAUACAUAUUUUAUCGGAGCUGACUUUUCUUUUGGUUUAUAUGCAGAUACCCUAUUCUAACGAUUUCACCGCGAUGCAGCGAAGAAUAUGACACAAAAGCUGAUGUUUUCUCCUUUGCUUUGAUCGUUCAAGAGAUGAUAGAAGGACGAAUGCCAUUUGCUGAAAAGGAAGACAGUGAAGCUUCAGAAGCUUAUGCCAGCAAAGAGCGGCCACUGUUCAAAGCUCCAUCAAAUUGCUUUACCCUCAUGGACUUAAAACGUUGAUAGAAGAAUGCUGGCAAAAUAAACCAGCCAAGCGACCUACUUUCAGAGAGAUCAUUAAACGGCUCGAGUCUAUUCUUCAUCAUAUGGGUCACAAACGACAAUGGGGGAUGAGGCCGUUGACUUGCUUUCAGAAUUUCGAGCACAAGAAGAAACAUAACUGGGAUAUGAGCAGCCAUGACGGCUCAUCAUCCGGUUCACAUUUGUGAUUCUUUAACCGGUUCAAAAAUGAUUUUUUUUUCUAUUCCCUCCGGUUUAGUUUGGUCUUCCCCCUAAAGAACCGAAUCUUAUUUUGUCAUUUUGUUCUUCACUGAUGAAAGUCCGUGUGGUCAAAAUCUGGCAUUUUAUCUAUUUAUAAAAUUUGU